GCAGUAGCCACGGUAAUACGUAGGUGGCAAGCGUUGUCCGGAAUUAUUGGGCGUAAAGGCUCGCAGGCGGUUUCUCAAGUCUGAUGUGAAAGCCCCCGGCUCAACCGGGGAGGGUCAUUGGAAACUGGGAAACUUGAGUGCAGAAGAGGAGAGUGGAAUUCCACGUGUAGCGGUGAAGUGCGUAGAGAUGUGGAGGAACACCAGUGGCGAAGGCGACUCUCUGGUCUGUAACUGACGCUGAGGAGCGAAAGCGUGGGGAGCGAACAGGAUUAGAUACCCCUGUAGUCCCUGUCUCUUAUACA
rnacentral:rRNA from 1 species